rnacentral:pre_miRNA from 1 species
GGUUUUCCUCAGAUCUUUUUGCGGUCUGGGCUUUCUGGGUCUAUAAAAUCCCUAUUUCAGAAAGCCCUUACCCCAAAAAGCAUCUGAGGACAGAC